CUCGCCUACAUGAAGCUGGAGUUACUAGUAAUCGCAGAUCAGAAUGCUGCGGUGAAUGCGUUCCCGGGUCUUGUACACACCGCCCGUCACACCACGGAAGUUGGGGCGCCCGAAGCCACUUAGCUAACCCUUUUGGGAAGCGAGUGUCGAAGGUGAAAUCAAUAACUGGGGUGAAGUCGUAACAAGGUACC
rnacentral:rRNA from 1 species